CAGAAGGAAGCAGCGGGGGCAGUCCCCCAGAGAGCAGCCGGACGUCGCACCAGAGGAAGAGAGCAGCUCCUAAGAGCGAAGUUUCCCAGAAAAUCCCAAGAACUGUGGAUUUCUGCACCACCCUCAAGUGGGAUCUGGCCAGUGGGAGUGAUGGCAGAGCAGCUUGGGCUGAGGCCAGGUUUGGCUAAAACUCGUUUCUGAACCGAAGGGGAGACUGGUGCUUGGCCUCUGAGCAGCAGAGGAGACCCAGGCAGAACGUGGAUGCAGGAAGGAAGAGCAAUGCCAGUGGGAGCUGGGGUCAGCAGAGAUCCGGACUCCGGACAGAGCGAAGUAGGGUGGAGGCACGGAAAUGCAGAGGUCACUGAAGAACACCCUUCUGAUCCCAGAAACCUCAUUGUGUAGGAGAUGCAGCUCCUACAUGAGUCAAUGUUUCCUUCAGUCUCAAGAGUCUGCACAGUUUCCUGAAAACCCACAAUCGGCCUCUGCCCAUGGCUCUCCAGCUGCCCAGUGUCCCAUGGCUUCUCUUCAGCCACCAAGGGUCUCCACCUUCAAGUUCUUCUGGUCUUCAAAGCUGAAACAGAGACCCUCUCUGUAUCCCCACAGCUGUGGUGGGAAAGCACCACGCCUAGUGUUGAAGCCUGGUCCCCUCCCCCGGGACACCAAGUUUCCUCGUAAUCCCUGCUCAGUUUCACUGUGGAUGUAACUGUCCAUCCUGCUCAGUCCUCAGCUUUCCUGCUCAAACUGAACCCUUGUUUUAAUUCUGUAAAACAGUCAUUUCUCCUGAACGGCUGUGACAGGCCCUACUUUCUUCUUCAGGAGCUCCUACAGCUGGAGCUUUUCAUCAUCUGGUUUCCUCCAGAGAUCUUAGCUGGCCUACCCUUUUUUUUUUUUUUUUUAAUUUUUUCCUUGUCUCUCUGCUUUGUGUCCUUGGCAAAUUCUCCCAGGCAAAUGCAUUUUAGUUCCUUAGUUCUCUGUUUUUGUGCCUUGUCUACAAUUUACACUACCUAUUGAGCUAUUUUGAUGACUAUUUUUCAUGCUCAAUUGUUUUCAUAUCCAUCUGUUCUUGCUUCAUAUGUACUUAUUUAAGUUUUAUAAUUUCUUAUUUUUUUACAUGGGCAUUAGGCUUGCAAUUCUCUUGAUCAUUUUAAACAUACUUCAGUGGUAUCUGUUUUAAGUAUGUUCUACACUUUUCUGUGACAGUAAUCUACUUUUCUAUUAAUUUUAUGGGCUAUUUUUCUUCUUGCUUGCCUCUUGUAUUUUGAGGGCUCAGAAAAUGAACCCCAAAGUGUGGUGUUUUGACAUGCUGAGCUUCAGAGUCUCAGAAGCAGAUUUAAACUCCUCACACCUAGUCUCUUGAUCCUCUCUGAUCCUCUUUCUCUUCUGAAGCCUACAAAGGAGUUUUCCCUGAAUUUCCAGAUCUACCAAAGAGGAACUAAUUGCCCUAAAAUCCUUUUACUGAAAUUUUAUGAAAAAAGGAAGCUUAAACUUCUAUCAUGGAUGAAGAGACUGAAAAUCCGAGCCCCGAGGACCUAUGUAUCAAGUCAUUGUAUAUUUUUGGGCUCAUUCGUUUCUCCCCAAAUCCACCUACUCCCCUCUAGAAUUGCUGGCAGCCCCCACACCCUUUCCCUAUGAAGAGGAUAUUUAAGCUUCAACCAUCUGGUCCUCUCCUUGGGUUUCAUAUUCGGUGAGGCUCCUGUGAACCUGUACACCUUAAUAAAUCUGUUAUGCUUUUCUCUUGCUAAACUGCCUUUUGUCAUAGGAAUAUCAACCAUGACCCUUUAAAUGGACAAGAAAGGGAGCACCCCUUUCCUUGCCCCUAUGUUGUACAUUAGGAUACACAGGCUUGACUUGCAGGCAGGUGUAUUGUUCUCCUCUCUGCAAUGACUGCUGCCUAGAUGUGCUGUAAUGGCCUC